GUCCGCCUCACCGCGUGCACUGGUCCGGCCGGGCCUUUCCUCCUGGGGAGCCGCAUGCCCUUCACUGGGUGUGUCGGGGAACCAGGACUUUUACUUUGAAAAAAUUAGAGUGUUCAAAGCAGGCCUAUGCUCGAAUACAUUAGCAUGGAAUAAUAGAAUAGGACGUGUGGUUCUAUUUUGUUGGUUUCUAGGACCGCCGUAAUGAUUAAUAGGGAUAGUCGGGGGCAUCAUUAUUCAAUGUC
rnacentral:rRNA from 1 species